rnacentral:lncRNA from 1 species
CAUUCAUCAGAAGCUUUAUUGUGGAUCCAGUGUGUUCUGGGCCCAUUCGUGGAAGUGAGGGAGAUGGGCUAGAACUCAGCCCCGUUGGGACCUGAGCUGGUGCCCUGCUCUGUCACAGGCCUUUCCUCUCCCUGCAAUGCUGCUGCCCAGAAAUGGGCACCUCAGAGGAGCCUGAUAAAAUCCCAGGGACUGACCGAGUUAACAAGCCAAGGGGAUGGCAGUGCAGGCAGAUGGGGCCUGGGUGGCGGGGCUGGACCUGGGCUCGGAGGCACAGGCACUGGGGUCUGGCCCUUGGGAUGCUUGGAAUCCAGCCCCGUGCUGGUCCCAGCCCUGUGCCACCCCCUCUGCAGGCUCCACUCCCACUAAAUCCUGCUGGAAAACAUAAAACCUUAACAGUCCUUCAUCUUCCUGCCUCCCCUGAGCCCUCAAUUCCCCCCAAUCCUCGUGGCAGCAGCCCAAGCCCCUCAGUCCCUGCCUUGGAUACAGCACGUUGAGGUUCUCAAGACUCUGUUUUUGUCUUGUGUUAGAUCAACAUAGCAGGAGUGGUGGCAGCAAGGGCGGUAAAAUAAUAAGACUGCUUAUGUGUCAGGCUCCGUUUCCUAGCCAUGAUCUCAGUCUACCCAAGGACUGUAGGAAGGGAGUACUUUGAUCAUUACACCCAUUUUCAGCAGAGGAGACUGAGCAAUGACUUUCUCUCCCCCGCAAAACAUGGCCACAGCAGAUGCCGCUUUGGCUUAAUAACCGGUGCAGGAGAGUUUGAAGGCAACAGAGGCUUAUAGCUGAGAGGGAAGAGCAGACAUUUGGAGUCCAGUCUUGGCAUUGAACCCUCAACUGCUCUGAGCCUUAGUUUCCUUGCCUGUGCAAUGGGCCAAUGAGCGUUCCCCCUUCAUGUAGCUUUUGCGAGGUUCGUGAGAUGGUGUGUGGAAAGCCCCGGGCUCAAUGCUAGCACAGAGCAGGCGGGGACAAAAGGCACCAGUGAGGAGGAGAGUGGAACAGAGAAGGCGAGACAAUGAUUCUCUUUUUCUGGAAGACAAGCCAAAAAACAGUUCCCGGUCCUGCCUUUCCGGCCCCAGAGGGAAGGGAGACCCGAGGCACCAGGUGCUAAACCAGGAGUCCUGGAGGUUGGGCUGUGUGGCCUCAGGCCGGGUCAUCUCCCUGAGCCUCAAUUUCUUCCUUAAUGAAACAGGACAGGCUGAGCCUCACUGUCCACCUUUUUAGGGCAUCCCAGUGUCUCGAACAAUGUCAGAUAGGAAAGCUCUCUGAGAAGUUCCCGGCACUGCUCAAAUGGGAGGGCGAAUGGCUUUUCCAGCACUACUAAUAAUUUACUCUGUUCUACCUCUCGAGUGGUGAAAAAGAAACUUCUGUAAGAGGAUGCUUCCAGCCUGAAAUGAUUCAUCCCCUCUGUGAGAUUCCGGUGGCUUCCUGCCACACCAUUUCACCUGCCUCCUGAGCUGCUGGGCCUCGCUGGUCUUGGGUUGGCCUUUGCUAUUUGAGACCCUGGGGUCCAGUGCAUUGGCUCCUGGAGGUCACAUGCCUUCCCUCCUUCCACAUCAGCUUCCUCCAGACACGGUGGCUGGCAUGCAACUCACAGGAGGUGCAUGAGACAUGUCAGGCUGCUCUUUCUUAACUCCUCUGCCCAGUGCCUUCCCCUCCUUCCACAUCAGCUUCCUCAUCUAUAGAAUAAGGAGUUUGGAACUUGAACAAUGGCAAAGUGUGAGGCCAUAUUUUGGGCUGCCCCACAUUCUGUAAGGCCAAUGGCAGCCGUCACUCAUCAGCCUGAAGCAGCUGCAGAAUCCUUAACCCAGGACCCAGAGAGCCUCAACCCAACAGUUCAUGGAGGGCUAGAACUUCUAAGGCGUGGAUUUCUAGGGUCUGAAACAGUUUUGAGGUGGGAUGUUCAAAGAUUCCGUGUGGGGGAGAGGAUCUCAAGCUUGCUGGAAGGAGGAAGAAGAGUGGGAGGAGGA